UUCCGGUUGAUCCUGCCGGAGGUCACUGCUAUUGGGAUUCGACUAAGCCAUGCGAGUCGAGAGGGUUCGGCCCUCGGCUGACGGCUCAGUAACGCGUGGAUAAUCUGCCCUUAGGUGGAGGAUACCCUCGGGAAACUGAGAAUAAUACUCCAUAGGUCUAGGAUGCUGGAAUGCAUCUAGACUGAAAACUCCGGUGCCUAAGGAUGAGUUUGCGGACUAUCAGGUUGUAGUCAGGGUAAAGACCUGACUAGCCUACGACGGAUAUGGGUUGUGAGAGCAAUAACCCAGAGAUGAUAUCUGAGACACGAUAUCAGGCCCUACGGGGCGCAGCAGGCGCGAAAACUUCACACUGUGCGAAAGCACGAUGAGGGAAUCCCAAGUGCCAGCUCGUAAGAGUUGGCUGUUUUUCUGUCUAAAACACAGAGAGAGUAAGAGCUGGGUAAGACGGGUGCCAGCCGCCGCGGUAAUACCUGCAGCUCGAGUGGUGACCGUUAUUAUUGGGCCUAAAACGUCCGUAGCCGGUUUAGUAAAUGCCUGGGUAAAUCGUGUAGCUUAACUAUACGAAUUCCGGGUAGACUGCUAAGCUUGAGACCGGGAGAGGCUAGAGGUACUCCUGGGGUAGAGGUGAAAUUCUGUAAUCCUGGGGGGACCACCAGUGGCGAAGGCGUCUAGCCAGAACGGAUCUGACGGUGAGGGACGAAGCCCUGGGGCGCAAACCGGAUCAGAUACCCGGGUAGUCCAGGGUGUAAACGCUGCUUGCUUGAUGUUAGUUGGGCUCCGAGCCCAAUUAGUGUCGGAGAGAAGUUGUUAAGCAAGCUGCCUGGGAAGUACGGUCGCAAGGCUGAAACUUAAAGGAAUUGGCGGGGGAGCACCACAAGGGGUGAAGCCUGCGGUUCAAUUGGACUCAACGCCGGU
rnacentral:rRNA from 1 species